rnacentral:lncRNA from 1 species
UUUUCUGUUCUUAUUGUGUUUUCAGCCUUUUUCUAUCUUAAGGAAUCAGCCCAAAAAUCCCCAAUUUCUAGGGUUUUUCCAUACUCUUUUUGGGUGAAAUUAGAUUGUCGAAAUUUGGGAAAAACUAUCUUGGUGUUCAAUUGGGCAGAAUCACAAUCUCCUUGAGGGUUUCAAGAACCCUAACACUUAUUUCUAUUCUCAAUUUGAUUCUUUGCUGAUUUGGGGAUUUUAUUUCAGAUCUGAAAAUUCAAAAAUAUAAUCUUUUAAUUUUCUGUUUCGUUUCAGAUCUAAUUGUUUAGGGUUUUCGUAGGAGUUUCCCGUGACUUGGCAACUCGAUCUUGG